UACUAGAGUAGCACUCGCAUAUCAAUAAGCGGAGGAAAAGAAACUAACAAGGAUUCCCCUAGUAACGGCGAGUGAAGCGGGAAGAGCUCAAAUUUGAAAUCUUAAAGGGUUUCCCUUUACGAAUUGUAGUUUAAAGAAGUGUUUUCUGUUGAGGUUUUGGUAAAAGUUCUUUGGAAUAGGACAUCAUAGAGGGUGAGAAUCCCGUAUUUGACCUUUACUUUCAACUUUGUGAUACACUUUCAAAGAGUCGGAUUGUUUGGGAAUGCAGUCCAAAAUGGGUGGUAAAUUUCAUCUAAAGCUAAAUAUUGGCGAGAGACCGAUAGCGAACAAGUACCGUGAGGGAAAGAUGAAAAGAACUUUGAAAAGAGAGUUAAACAGUACGUGAAAUUGUCAAAAGGGAAGCGUUUGACACCAGUGUUGUUUUUCUGAAAAUCAAUUAAAGAACUGUUUAUGCUAAGCUGUUUAGACUUUAUCAGCUAUCUGUUUAGUUUUGAGCUUUUCUUUAAUGCACUUUUCAGUUAACAAGUCAACAUCAAUUUCUUUUGCUGUAAAAAGCUUGAGGAAGGUGGCUUGAGAUUCGUCUUAAGUGUUUAUAGCCUCUUGCCUAUGCAGUCGGAGAGAUUGAGGUCUGCAGCGUAGAUCCUUCGGGGCUAAAUGCAUUUGUGCUAAGUUAUAGCAUUUUAUAGACAACUUGUUGACUAUGAUUUGUCUUGUAGCUUACUCGCUUAUGUUAUUUUACCUACGCUUAGGAUGUUGAGUAGCGACAUACGCAC
rnacentral:rRNA from 1 species